UCCUACGGGGGGCAGCAGUGGGGAAUUGUUCGCAAUGGGCGCAAGCCUGACGACGCAACGCCGCGUGGAGGAUGAAGGUCUUCGGAUUGUAAACUCCUGUUGAUUGGGACGAAUUCCUGCGGGGCUAACAGUCCCGCGGGGUGACGGUACCGAUUGAGGAAGCCCCGGCUAACUCUGUGCCAGCAGCCGCGGUAAUACAGAGGGGGCAAGCGUUGUUCGGAAUUACUGGGCGUAAAGGGCGCGUAGGCGGCCACCUAAGUCGGACGUGAAAUCCCUCGGCUCAACCGGGGAACUGCGUCUGAUACUGGGUGGCUUGAAUCCGGGAGAGGGAUGUGGAAUUCCAGGUGUAGCGGUGAAAUGCGUAGAUAUCUGGAGGAACACCGGUGGCGAAGGCGGCAUCCUGGACCGGCAUUGACGCUGAGGCGCGAAAGCCAGGGGAGCAAACGGGAUUAGAUACCCGGGUAGUCCG
rnacentral:rRNA from 1 species